GAUGAAGAACGUAUUGAAACGCGAUAUGUAAUGUGAAUUGCAGAAUUCAGUGAAUCAUCGAAUCUUUGAACGCACAUGGCGCCUUCCAGUAUCCUGGGAGGCAUGCCUGUCCGAGCGUCGUUUCAACCCUCGAGCCCCCGUGGCCCGGCGUUGGGGAUCUGCCCAGGCAGUCCCCGAAAACCAGUGGCGGACCCGUUACAGGCCCUUCCCUUGCGUAGUAGCAUUCGCCUCGCAUCGGGAGCCGGCGGGCUUCCAGCCUCUAAACCCCCAUCAAGUCCGCCCCGGCGGCACCAAGGUUGACCUCGGAUCAGGUAGGAAUACCCGCUGAACUUAAGCAUAUCAAUAAGCGGAGGA
rnacentral:misc_RNA from 1 species